GCAGAGUAGAUAUCAGUGCGUUAAGUGCUGCCGGAACGGGGAGUUGACCGGCGGACGAAAGGAACUGGAUGGAACAUCCAAUCCUGCGGUACUGAAUUCGCAUCCCGCUGC
rnacentral:ncRNA from 1 species